UUUUUUGUCGAAAUAAUGAUGUUGGAGGCGAUUUGGCACCUCCUCCUCUCACUGGCGGUGUGGCGGUGUCAGUGUGGUAAGCGACGUCAACACCGUCAUCUCUGCCGCUGCCGCCGCCACGCUGAUCCCCCCCUGUACACAACAGAAAGGCUGACCCUACGCUCAAUACUGAACUCCACCUUAUUUACUGUGAAUGUGAGACUCGCCUUUCCCUGUCCCACCAGACAGACCAUGACGGAGGAAGGGUGUCUGCUGGUGAUGGUGGUGGACAUGCACCCCCAGCUGGCUGAGCACGACGCUCACACGUACUUCAAUGCUGUUGUGGCCUUUGCUAACCUGCACCUGGCUGCUAACGUCCGAAACUCUUUAGGAGUCCUUGCAGCCAACCACCUGGAGUCAAGGUUCCUGUACCCAAGCUGUAACGGUGACGGGGUUGAGAGGCAAAAGGAUGGUCGUCUGGAAAUGCUAGGGCAGGUAGACCGAGCCAUUGAGAGAGGCCUGAAGACCAUGGCUGUGGCAGCGGGAGCCAGUCCAGUGCACCUAGAGCAGAGUGAGUCCCUCCUCUCUGGAGCCAUUGGCAGGGGGCUCCUCUACAUCAAGAGGCGGGAGACUGAGGAAGUUCUAACCAAGAAGUUGCAAUCGAGACUGUUAGUGCUUAAAAUAUCAUCGGACACCGGGAGCCAGUACCUCACCUACAUCAAUGCUUACCUGACGGCACAGAAGAUGUCAACACCAGUUGAUGUUUGUGUUGUGGGGGGUGACUGCGGCCUCCUGCAGCAGGGUGCUGACAUCACAGGUGGGACCUACCACUGUGUGCGACAGGUGACAGAGCUCCUCCAGACAUUGCUGCUCAUGUACCACUGUGGUCCAGCUAUUCGCAGGAAGAUGAAUGCUCCACCACCUGACACAGUGGAUUACCGCGCUGCCUGCUUCUGCCACCGUACACUGGUAGAUAUGGCCAGUGUGUGCUCCAAUUGCCUCUCUGUUUACUGCAAGGCCGUGCCACUCUGCACCACCUGCAAUGUCAUCUUCCAGACUGAUCGGCCUCUUGUUCGUCUUAGCAAGAAGAAAAAAUGAGAGCGAUGAUAGACUGGGGGAAGUGGAGCAUUGCCCUCCUUUUGUGGAAAGGUUAAGAGGAACAAGAACAGAGUGGUGGAAGGAGAGGACUUGAUAUUAUUCCCGGCAGUGCCACACCUCACAAUUCAUGGCAUGGUGUGUUGGCAGGGAGGCAGUGAUGCAUGGGCUGCAGAGUUGAGCUGGAGAGUCUCACAGCCUCAGGCCACACUACUCACCAUAUACAAGUAUGCCCUGAGUGAGGAUAGAUGAAGAUGGGAGGUGAAGAAUAGAGACAUGGAUAAACUGGUUGGCAAAGGAACCAUGGGACUGCACAUGGAGUGAUCUAUAUGGCCUGCCAUUGUUGUCAAUAACAUGCAGCAAGCAAAGGUCACAAAAUGACAAGACAAACAUGAGAGCUUUGAGGACAAGAAUCUGAAAUAUACAAGAGCAGUGAUCCACUACCCACAGUACAUGAUCUCUGCAUACAAACAAUAAGCACCAGUAGGUACAUCUAGAAUUCUACGAUAAGUGAAACGCUUGGGGUCUCGUAUAAACACGUCGUCCCCUUUGUCCGGGAGAAUCUUCCAGGUGCGGUUGACAAGCUUCAGCACGGGGGGCUGCUCCGUGGCCGAGGUGCUUGGGCCGGGUUGCGCGGAGACCUCCAUCGUGUCUGGCCUGUGUUGUUGUUUGGCCUCGGAACGUUGUGGUGGUGGUGGUGGUGGUGCUUUGCGGGAGUCCGUGUUUGUAACGGCGCACUUUAUGUCUCGUGAUGGGGCAAGGAAAUGCAUCAGCACUGUCUGCGACUCUACAUAGGAGCUGCUGAUCCAAAGGCCUUGUCUACCCAGGACACCCAUCCUCCCUAGGUCACUGCUGGAGAGGAUAAGGAAAGUGGCUCCAUGGACCUCCUAAGAAACUGGUCCGAUCAACAGUCCCAGUGUCCAACGACACCAGGACACCUCUACUCACAAUGAAGAGGAAAGUGAAAGUGGCUCACACAAAUUAUGGUCUAGUUCAACAGAGAGGCCAGUGUGAAAAUGUCCCAAACAACUAAUGUUUCAUGGAAAGUGGAUGAAAAUGGUAUAAACAAACUUUUCAUGUGGCCCUUAAAUUGUGAAAGCUCGAGGCAGGUAACACACGAGAUGGAAAUCAACACUGGUAGAGAAGGCCACAUCCCUGGUUUCUAGUGGAAGGAGGCAGAGCUGCAGAGAGUGGAGAAGACAGACCAUAACAAAGUACCACUUUAAUGAAAGAAAAGCACUCCUUCUCUAACACACGAACUACAUGACAUUGGUCACCCCUUAGAGAGGUAGUUGCUCUAGCACAGGUACCACGCCCAUUCACUUCACACACGGCUGUCCCAGGCAUCACACAGGUACAGGAACCCAAGGAGAGGACAAGGAAUGGAGCAGGGUGUAGGGGUGGAGAGUAGGCAGAGCAGUAUCCAGCAGUGACCAGGAUUGAAACAGGAGGUGGAUGUAGAACCACCAGCAAGCCCGAGUGGUAUGGUGGUUCAUCCAAAGGCUGGUCUGGACUCAGGCUGGCUAGACAUGGCUGCCAGGAGACUGGCUCAGGUCCCCCAAAGCGAGCGGUGAGCAGGGCUUCAUGGGAGAAUACUUCUGGAGGCAGAGGCAAGUCUAGGUAGUGUUGACUUCGCCAGAGCUCAGGAGAAUCUGCCUUCCCUCGGUCUCGUCUCCCAGGCGUCAGGUCGGAAGCCGGAAUUCAGCACAGGAGACGGUAUUUCUCAAGUGAUGCCAACCCUGGAGAAGAUGGACAACAAGGCUUCUGCAAUGGCAAUAGAGGUUAUUUCUGAGAGGUACGGCUUCUGGGAAUCCGGUUGCAAAAUCAAUUAAAGUUAAGGUAACGAUGGCCUUCAGAUGAUGGUGGAGACAAGGGACCCACGAUGUCAAUAGCCACUCUUAAGAAACAGUUCAGUGAUGAUAGGUAGAGGCUGUAAAGGUACAGGGCGCACUCUUCCUUUUGCUGACAUACGUUGACAUUUAUCACAAGACUUACAAAAAGCUGGGAUGUCAGCUCCUACCCCAGGCCAAUAGAAGUGGUGGCAAACCUUACCUCUAGUCUUCUUGUGGGAGAAGUGUCCCAACAUUGGACCCUCAUGGGCAAGAGACAACACCAGGCGACGACACUCAGCAGGGAUGACCAAAGUCUUUCCCACUUGUUCUUGGUUGCUAGAAGAACGGCACACUCGGUAGAGUAGUUCGAACCACUGCGAGUUACCUCUUCUUCACCAGUUGAUGCCUUAUGACGGAGAGCCUGAAGGGAGGAACAUGAAUCCUGCAGGCGAGAAAAUUCCCGGGGAGUAAUGGUAAUAGGUUGGAGUUCGUGCCACGCGGCUCCGGGUUUCAACAACUUGAACCUUCUCAGGGACAGGUGAAGAAUGCCGAGGCAGACAAACCUUUUUCAAGUUCUCGUCUGGUGUGCUCACUCCUUCCACAUUAGCAACCAGAACACUACAGAACUUAAUUGGAGCACGAACAGCAUCAACAUAACCUUUGUAGAAGGGACAGCAAAGGUAGCAUCGUAUCUGAGGGAAGGAGUCCACUCUUCCUAAAUAGUCAGAAACAAGAACUUUAGGACACUGAGAGACGUCUACAUCAGGUAAGGCUUCCUCAGAUACAAGGACACAGGAACAGCCAGUGUCACGUAUGAUAGUAGAUACUCUCGCUCCAUUGAUGGUGCCAGAAGAAAAGUAGAGAUUAGUAGAUCACUGAAGCAGAAACCCACCUUAUGUGUGUCUGGUUGAGGAGUGCUACCAGUCCUGAACAAAGCUGGAUUUUGGGGACAUCGAGGUCGAAUGUGUCCUGGCUCCCCACAAUUGUGACACCCGACGGGUGUGGAAGACUUUCUGGCCGGUGGAAGAGAUCGGCGAGAAGCUUGGUUGGUAGUAGUUGAUGUAGGUGACGGCUUCUUAGGUCCAGUAAGGGGUGUGUCUCAGGUAAGCACGAUGGGCAGCUGCCCAAAUAUCUGCACAUUUGACAGCGUCGUCCAAGGUCUGCACGUCGUUUUCUUUCAAGAAGGUUCUUAUAUCUGGAGAAAUAGAGGCAAGAAACUGGUCCAUAAUUACAAAAGAUCAGAGUUUAUGAAAAUCUUUCCCCACGUCACAAGUAUCUGUCCAGUUAUCAAAAUAGCUGACAGAACGAAACAUGUGGCGAUAGUGCUCAGCGGACUGACUGAAGCUUCUAAGGAGAGAGGAUUUAAGUUUAGGGUAGUCACAAAUUACGUAAUCAGCCAAGGUAGUGUAGAUUUCUGCUAGCUUACCAGAGAGAAGACCACCCAGUCAUAUGGCAUAGUUGUCCUCAGGAUGUUGAGGAGGGCAGCAAUGCAUUCAAAACGUGUGAAGCAGGAUAUCAUCAUCUUGAUAGACUGGUGGGGUGUAGAGAAGGUCGGGGAACAGUCCCACAAUCCCCAGGCAAGAUCUGGAUCUGUUCGUUCCUUGUUCUUGCAGCGACAACUUCCGCUUUAAUUCGGACAUGGCAAGGGCAUGUUCUUUCCUUUUCCUUCUUUCCUCUCUUCACUCUUUCUCGUUCCUUUUGUCGUUCGUCUCGUUACAAAGCUUGCAGAGUAGAAACAAACUCACAUAGGUCGU